AGAGUUUGAUCAUGGCUCAGGACGAACGCUGGCGGCGUGCCUAAUACAUGCAAGUCGAGCGAGACUCUUCGGAGUCUAGCGGCGGACGGGUGAGUAACACGUGGGCAACCUGCCUGUAAGACUGGGAUAACACCGGGAAACCGGUGCUAAUACCGGAUAAUCCUUUUUCUCUCAUGAGGAAAAGCUGAAAGUCGGUUUCGGCUGACACUUACAGAUGGGCCCGCGGCGCAUUAGCUAGUUGGUGAGGUAACGGCUCACCAAGGCGACGAUGCGUAGCCGACCUGAGAGGGUGAUCGGCCACACUGGGACUGAGACACGGCCCAGACUCCUACGGGAGGCAGCAGUAGGGAAUCUUCCACAAUGGACGAAAGUCUGAUGGAGCAACGCCGCGUGAGCGAUGAAGGCCUUCGGGUCGUAAAGCUCUGUUGUUAGGGAAGAACAAGUAUCGGAGUAACUGCCGGUACCUUGACGAUACCUAACCAGAAAGCCACGGCUAACUACGUGCCAGCAGCCGCGGUAAUACGUAGGUGGCAAGCGUUGUCCGGAAUUAUUGGGCGUAAAGCGCGCGCAGGCGGUCCUUUAAGUCUGAUGUGAAAGCCCACGGCUCAACCGUGGAGGGUCAUUGGAAACUGGGAAACUUGAGUGCAGAAGAGGAAAGUGGAAUUCCAAGUGUAGCGGUGAAAUGCGUAGAGAUUUGGAGGAACACCAGUGGCGAAGGCGACUUUCUGGUCUGUAACUGACGCUGAGGCGCGAAAGCGUGGGGAGCAAACAGGAUUAGAUACCCUGGUAGUCCACGCUGUAAACGAUGAGUGCUAAGUGUUAGAGGGUUUCCGCCCUUUAGUGCUGAAGUUAACGCCUUAAGCACUCCGCCUGGGGAGUACGGUCGCAAGACUGAAACUCAAAUGAAUUGACGG
rnacentral:rRNA from 1 species